rnacentral:rRNA from 1 species
GGGAAUCUUGGACAAUGGGCGAAAGCCUGAUCCAGCCAUGCCGCGUGAGUGAUGAAGGCCUUAGGGUUGUAAGGCUCUUUCGCCAGGGAAGAUAAUGACGGUACCUGGAUAAGAAGCCCCGGCUAACUUCGUGCCAGCAGCCGCGGUAAUACGAAGGGGGCUAGCGUUGUUCGGAAUUACUGGGCGUAAAGCGCACGUAGGCGGCUUUCCAAGUUGGAGGUGAAAUCCCCGGGCUUAACCCGGGAACUGCCUCCAAAACUGAAAGGCUAGAGUCCGAGAGAGGUGAGUGGAAUUUCCAGUGUAGAGAUGAAAUUCGUAGAUAUUGGAAAGAACACCAGUGGCGAAGGCGGCUCACUGGCUCGGUACUGACGCUGAGGUGCGACAGCGUGGGGAGCAAA